UUCAGUUACAAGUCACCAUGUUCAAUCUAAUGGGGCACCCUACUCAGAGAGGCUUUUUGAUCCCAUUCUUUUUGCAAUGUGUUAACAUCAUGGCCAAAAAUGUGCCAAGAAAUAUUUCAAUUGGAUGAUUGAGCACAAAUUUAUGUCAUGUUGAAGUUGGCAUGAAAAACUGAUCACGUAACUUAGAAAAAUUCGAGUGCUUCAUGGCUGAAAAUGACUUAUAAUGUUUCAAUGAAUUCCA
rnacentral:lncRNA from 1 species